AAAGCAGUGCAGGACUGACGGAUAAGUGGAAUUGACCACGUGCUCUGCAUUGUGUAACUUGCCGACCGUCUGGGCAGAGAAA
rnacentral:ncRNA from 2 species